rnacentral:rRNA from 1 species
AUUGAACGCUGGCGGCAGGCCUAACACAUGCCAAGUCGAACGGUAGCACGUAGGAGCUUGCUCCUUGGUGACGAGUGGCGGACGGGUGAGUAAUGUCUGGGAAACUGCCCGAUGGAGGGGGAUAACUACUGGAAACGGUAGCUAAUACCGCAUAACGUCGCAAGACCAAAGAGGGGGACCUUCGGGCCUCUUGCCAUCGGAUGUGCCCAGAUGGGAUUAGCUAGUAGGUGGGGUAACGGCCCACCUAGGCGACGAUCCCUAGCUGGUCUGAGAGGAUGACCAGCCACACUGGAACUGAGACACGGUCCAGACUCCUACGGGAGGCAGCAGUGGGGAAUAUUGCACAAUGGGCGCAAGCCUGAUGCAGCCAUGCCGCGUGUAUGAAGAAGGCCUUCGGGUUGUAAAGUACUUUCAGCGAGGAGGAAGGCGUUGUGGUUAA